GCGCAGCUGCCCACCCAACAUGGUUUGAUGCUUGGAUAGUGGAUUCAUCAGCAUCCGGCAAAAGAAUAAACUCAAGUGGGGGACCAGGACAACUUUUCCUCAUCGCCUGGUUCCGCUCGGCGCGUGUUCUGCUCUCGUGCCCGGCGGGUGCCCGUAGUUUGUCGGAGGCGGCCAGGUCAGCGCAGCGCUGUCAGGAGCACAGAGCUCAGCCAAUCAGCUCACAAUGAAUGUGUAUCUGUGAGGAGUUUGAGAGUCUGAGCGCAUGAACAGAUGCAGAGCAUGAUCCUUUGUCAUCCUACAGGUAAGGCAUGUGAUACACGAGUUAUGGUGCGUUCACACCAAACGCGGCGCGAAUUAUUCGCGCGAGUAGAUUACAUACAAAGUCUGCAGGCGAA